GCUGGGCAUGGUGGUGCAUGCCUGUAAUCCAGCACCUCAGGAGGCUGAGACUGGAGGAUUGCGAAUUCAAAGCUAGCCUCAGCAAAAGCAAGGCUUGACGCAACUCAGACCCUGUCUCUA
rnacentral:sRNA from 1 species